ACGAAGAGAAUCGCGGAACGGAUUCUUUUCGUCUUGCGAGGCACCACUGUAUCCUAAUAAGAAUUAGCUUCCUAUUUUGUUUUGCAUUCAGUUACUUCUUUGCUGCCAUUCUUAAUGCAUAAUGAUUGUUUCAAAUUAGUGUGGACAAGUCUUUUAUAAUUUUACAUUAAAAUAAUAGUUGUGAUUUUUAUGAUGAAUGAUAGCAAAAGCUAUGUACUUUUGUACUUGUUUCUUGCCAUGGCAAAGGCUCUCAGUUAUGUAUAUACCAUAUUUUUCUGUGUAUAAGACACCCCCUAUUUUGGGGGACUCCAAAUUAAGAAAACACCCUUCAGCACUACCUGUGUAUAAGACGAGCCCCAAUUUUAAACCUAAUUUUUGGGUAAAAAAAACCUAGUCUUAUACAUGGAAAAAUACGGUAAAUAUAUUUGUUAUAAACACUUAGAAGAACUUCCUUCCAACGGAAGUCCAGUCUAAGGGCAAUGGAAUAGAACUGGGCUUGGCAUUUCAAUCUGUGUACCAUGUAUCUUCAGAUAUACACAUAUAUAGAUGUAUGUAUGUUAAUAAAAGGGAGCCCCUGCUCAGUAAAAUAGUAAAUAUAUAAGAGUUUCCAGAGGGAUAGCCAUGUCUGCUGCAGCAAAACCAACAAAGAGUCUUGUGAUAUCUUGAAUACUAACAUGUUUUAUCGUGUAAACUUUUAUGCAUUAAAUUUCAAACUGUUUAAAGCUGUGAACAUUUUGAAGACUUGAUUUUGCACAUGGAUUUCUUGGCUUGUUUCGCUGAAGGAUUGAUUUGACAACACUGUGGAAUAUAUUUGCUUUGUAUUUGACUGGGUUCAACCUGUAUUUUGCUUGAACAACUCUUUGCAUUCUGUUGCCUUCCUAGAAGCUACAAAGACAUCAUUGACAUGUCAUGUAAUAUGUGAAAACCAUGACAGUACAUAGAUGCCAUGUUGAAUUACUUGUCACUUAGUGAAUAGACGGAUCAGCUUCUAUGUAUUAGGAGGAGGAAUCUUUCUUCCAAGAGUAGAUAUCCUGUAGACAUUAUCUAUGUUCUUGAAUCUGCCAUGAACCAAUUAAUUGCAGCAUGAUUGACAAACUUUGUUUCCUCGUUUAAAUCCAAAUUGUAGUUUGUUGAUGUGUACAGACACAGAGGAGGCAGUGAUCGCAUGUACAAUUUUUGAAAAGCUGACACUGUUUUCACACCUGGCAUGAAUCCAGCUUAGCAGCACAUGUGUCUGCUCCCUCAUAGUGAAGUUGUGUUCCAUCAGCUGUCUGAUGUCCACAUCAGCAGGUGAAAUACUGGAACAGCUUGAUGCAUCUACUCCAAAGACGCUUCUGUAUACUUGGAGAACAUUUCACUGGAUCUGGCUAAUAUGAAAUCUUUGAAUGUCACUGAAAUAAGACGUGUUCUUGCUUCACCAUUCAGUCUUCAGCAUGAAAACAAUCAACCUAAACACCAAGAAGGCCUUACAAGCAAAACCUUGGCCACAAUAAAGGCUCCACUAAAAGAGAAGUGGUGAUCAAUGUGUAUUUAUGAUACUUAUUCUAAGCAAUAUACAAUUAUACACUGAAAUGUAA